rnacentral:rRNA from 1 species
AUACGUAGGUGGCAAGCGUUGUCCGGAAUUAUUGGGCGUAAAGCGCGCGCAGGUGGUUCCUUAAGUCUGAUGUGAAAGCCCCCGGCUCCACCGGGGAGGGUCAUUGGAAACUGGGGAACUUGAGUGCAGAAGAGGAUAGGGGAAUUCCAAGUGUAGCGGUGAAAUGAGUAGAGAUUUGGAGGAACACCAGUGGCGAAGGCGACUGUCUGGUCUGUAACUGACACUGAGGCGCGAAAGCGUGGGGAGCAAACAGGAUUAGAUACCCUGGUAGUCCACGCCGUAAACGAUGAGUGCUAAGUGUUGGGGGGUUUCCGCCCCUCAGUGCUGCAGCUAACGCAUUAAGCACUCCGCCUGGGGAGUACGGUCGCAAGACUGAAACUCAAAUGAAUUGACGGGG